rnacentral:lncRNA from 1 species
CAGAACGUCCUUCCGAUUUCAACACACAAGUACUCCUAGGAGGAGGCCAACGGCCCAUCUCUCAAUUUUCAAUCCAGCAGUUUGUACACGGCUGGUUUAAUCUUUGGAAGGUCGUUGGUGGAGGUGGCAUCGCCUCUGACCUGCAGGAAACCAGCAACUCGACAUAAAGCCCCUGGCCUAUGUCAAAUGUCUGACUGAUGCUCAUAAUACGAUAAUGGUACUUCUGAAUCAAAACUCAGCGUUGCCUCCAAGAAACAC